rnacentral:rRNA from 1 species
GAUGAACGCUGGCGGCGUGCUUAACACAUGCAAGUCGAACGAAGCACUUUAUUUGAUUUCCUUCGGGACUGAUUAUUUUGUGACUGAGUGGCGGACGGGUGAGUAACGCGUGGGUAACCUGCCUUGUACAGGGGGAUAACAGUUGGAAACGGCUGCUAAUACCGCAUAAGCGCACGGCAUCGCAUGAUGCAGUGUGAAAAACUCCGGUGGUAUAAGAUGGACCCGCGUUGGAUUAGCUAGUUGGUGGGGUAACGGCCCACCAAGGCGACGAUCCGUAGCCGACCUGAGAGGGUGACCGGCCACAUUGGGACUGAGACACGGCCCAAACUCCUACGGGAGGCAGCAGUGGGGAAUAUUGCACAAUGGGCGAAAGCCUGAUGCAGCGACGCCGCGUGAGCGAAGAAGUAUUUCGGUAUGUAAAGCUCUAUCAGCAGGGAAGAUAAUGACG